rnacentral:rRNA from 1 species
GGCCCAGAUCGUUUACCGUGAAAAAAUUAGAGUGUUCAAAGCAGGCAGAUCCAAUUUUCUGCCACCGAAUACAUUAGCAUGGGAUAAUGGAAUAGGACCCUGUCCUCCUAUUUUCAGUUGGUUUUGGCAGCGCGAGGACUAGGGUAAUGAUUAAUAGGGAUAGUUGGGGGCAUUAAUAUUUAAUUGUCAGAGGUGAAAUUCUUGGAUUUAUGAAAGAUUAACUUCUGCGAAAGCAUCUGCCAAGGAUGUUUUCAUUAAUCAAGAACGAAAGUUAGGGGAUCGAAGACGAUCAGAUACCGUCGUAGUCUUAACCAUAAACGAUGCCGACCAGCGAUUAGGAGACGUUGAAUACAAAACACCACCAUCGGUUGCGGUCGUCCUUGGCGUCUCGGUUUYGGCCGGGGCGCGGGGAUGGCUUAGCCCGGUGGCACCGGUGAAUGACUCCCCUAGCAGCUUGUGAGA